UACUCCUACGGGAGGCAGCAGUGGGGAAUAUUGCACAAUGGGCGGAAGCCUGAUGCAGCGACGCCGCGUGAGGGAUGACGGCCUUCGGGUUGUAAACCUCUUUCAGCAGGGACGAAGCGUAAGUGACGGUACCUGCAGAAGAAGCGCCGGCCAACUACGUGCCAGCAGCCGCGGUAAGAUGUAGGGCGCGAGCGUUGUCCGGAUUUAUUGGGCGUAAAGAGCUCGUAGGCGGCUUGUCGCGUCGUCCGUGAAAACCUGGGGCUCAACCCCAGGCUUGCGGUCGAUACGGGCAGGCUAGAGUUCGGUAGGGGAGACUGGAAUUCCUGGUGUAGCGGUGAAAUGCGUAGAUAUCAGGAGGAACACCGGUGGCGAAGGCGGCUUCCUGGACCAAUACUGACGCUGAGGCGCGAAGGCGUGGGGAGCAAACAGGAUUAGAUACCCUGGUAGUCCACGCAGUAAACUGUGAACACUAGGUGUAGCGGGUAUUGACCCCUGCUGUGCCGAAGCUAACGCAUUAAGUGUUCCGCCUGGGAAGUACGGUCGCAAGGCUAAAACUCRRAAUGAAUUGACGG
rnacentral:rRNA from 1 species